CAGCAGCCGCGGGAACACAGAGGGUGCGAGCGUUAAUCGGAUUUACUGGGCGUAAAGCGUGCGUAGGCGGCUUUUUAAGUCGGAUGUGAAAUCCCUGAGCUUAACUUAGGAAUUGCAUUCGAUACUGGGAAGCUAGAGUAUGGGAGAGGAUGGUAGAAUUCCAGGUGUAGCGGUGAAAUGCGUAGAGAUCUGUAGGAAUACCGAUGGCGAAGGCAGCCAUCUGGCCUAAUACUGACGCUGAGGUACGAAAGCAUGGGGAGCAAACAGGAUUAGAUACCCCGGUAGUCCCUGUCUCUUAUAC
rnacentral:rRNA from 1 species